rnacentral:rRNA from 1 species
UACGUAGGGUGCAAGCGUUGUCCGGAAUUAUUGGGCGUAAAGAGCUUGUAGGCGGUCUGUCGCGUCUGCUGUGAAAAUCCGGGGCUCAACCCCGGACUGCAGUGGGUACGGGCAGACUAGAGUGCGGUAGGGGUGACUGGAAUUCCUGGUGUAGCGGUGAAAUGCGCAGAUAUCAGGAGGAACACCGGUGGCGAAGGCGGGUCUCUGGGCCGAUACUGACGCUGAGGAGCGAAAGCGUGGGGAGCGAACAGG